CCUACGGGGGGCUGCAGUGAGGAAUAUUGGACAAUGGGCGCAAGCCUGAUCCAGCCAUGCCGCGUGCAGGAUGACGGUCCUAUGGAUUGUAAACUGCUUUUGUACGGGAAGAAACACUCCAACGUGUUGGAGCUUGACGGUACCGUAAGAAUAAGGAUCGGCUAACUCCGUGCCAGCAGCCGCGGUAAUACGGAGGAUCCAAGCGUUAUCCGGAAUCAUUGGGUUUAAAGGGUCCGUAGGCGGUUUUGUAAGUCAGUGGUGAAAUCCGGCAGCUC
rnacentral:rRNA from 1 species